CACUCAACACCCUUAUCCUCUUCCUUCCCACCCACUCGUCCCCAUCUCUCUCUCUCAGUUCCCGGCGGCGAGUCCUCCCUCCCUCUUCCCUGGCGGUUCUCCGGCGUUGUUGCCGGCUGCGAUUCUCAGCGGCGCACGGGCGGAGGCAGAGGCAGAGGCUCGGAGCCGGAGGCUCGCGCGCGUCACGCGGCAGUCGGAUCUCGAUGCCGUGACCUUGUCGACGACAGCGAGAAGAGGAACCCACGCACGCCGAGGUGGUACCGCGAUUCCGGUGGGACAGAGCUGCCGGAGGUGCUCGUGCGGGCCGUUUGCAUCCACCCCCUCGACAUGUGGUGGUGGACGGUGGAUAGGUCUCGCCGACGGCAUCCCGAUGUCGACGGUGGUGGUUAGAGCGGCCGUGCGCUUGGUGAAGCCGUAGUGUUUUUGGGCCGGAGUUGAUGCUCGGGUGUGCCGGCGCCCCAUCUGGUGCUGGAGGGAGAUGCUCGUACGCGCCAGCAAGAGCCCGCCAUAGGUGUGGAUCCUACACCUUCCGUCGCAUCCCCACGUCUCCUCCGCCUACAGCCUACUCCGUAACACGGCGAAGGAGCUCGUGUGGGUGGAUGCUCCGGCGGCGUGCCCGGAGACAGCGGGCGGAGGAGCUCGUGUGUGCCUGCCCUGACGGAGAGGAGCGGAAGAUGCUCCUGGAGUGGGAGCACAGCGCUCUCAAGCGCUCGUGCUCCGGGGGCUCCGGCGACGUACAAGGAGCUGCAUGAGCGCAGAGAGGAGCUUAUCUUUUGUUAGAUAUGUUUCAUGCCUCCUCGAGCUCGACCACCCAUGGCUACGCACUGCUAAGGCAGUGGAUCCCUUUCGGCAGAGAAAAAAGACCAACUCCCAGCUGUGAGGGUCAAACUGGAACAUGAUCCCUUGGAUAUGUUGGUGAAGGCCUUCGAGAUGAGCGGGCGGUUAUGCCUCGCCGUAAAAGUGCCCGGCUUCCCUCCGACUCUUCAGUUAUGGGUUAUGUCUCUGCCACCGCAGGACCAGUGGGCCGACAGUGACGACAAAAAGUUGUGCUGGGAUUUGCACUACAGCUUCACCGCAUACUACACCAACAAUAAUGUACCGACUAGCGUUUGGUUUGACAAUGGCGAGAAGACGUUGUGCGUCAGGCAAGAGGAUGUCUUGUUCAAGCAUGGCAUGAGAGGACGCUCGCCGGAGCCGUCUCGAUAUUCUUAUUGUCCAGAAUGCGACCAGCGACUCGAGCUGCCGCCAACACCGUCGAACUACAUAUGGAACAUUUUGAGGGGCUAUCGCCCCAGCUUGCUCUCACCUCUCUCCUUGGUGACGUCACCAUCAGUUUCGUACGCGGGUGCAGUGAAACAACCAUUCGAGCACAAAUUGUUGCUUGCACUGUGCCGACAAGAAUGACAACAUCAAUUAUACGCUGAGCUAACUCUAAUUUGCCGGCAAGCAUCAAAACAUUUAAAAACGAGGUUGAGGGGGAAGUUCUCUCCUUUAACUUUUCGUAGUUAUGUGCCUUAAGUGAAAACAUGACACACGUGUCAUUGCUCUACGAGGCCUUCUCAGCAUCAGCACAUCUCACAAUGUAGGGCCGAACUUGCCAUAAACAUUUCUAGUUGCAUUACUGUUACUUAUAGCUUUCCUAUGAUAUUGGUAGUAGUAUAUUGUUUUAGCCGUUCUCUAUUAGUGGAGCUUAUAGGGGAAUUGCCGUUCAACAUUACUUGAAGGAAAUGAUGUUAAGUGACAAUGAUAACCAA